GUGGGGAAUAUUGGACAAUGGGCGAAAGCCUGAUCCAGCCAUGCCGCGUGUGUGAAGAAGGUCUUCGGAUUGUAAAGCACUUUAAGUUGGGAGGAAGGGCAGUAAGUUAAUACCUUGCUGUUUUGACGUUACCGACAGAAUAAGCACCGGCUAACUUCGUGCCAGCAGCCGCGGUAAUACGAAGGGUGCAAGCGUUAAUCGGAAUUACUGGGCGUAAAGCGCGCGUAGGUGGUUCAGCAAGUUGGAGGUGAAAUCCCCGGGCUCAACCUGGGAACUGCCUCCAAAACUGCAUGACUAGGGUACGGUAGAGGGUAGUGGAAUUUCCUGUGUAGCGGUGAAAUGCGUAGAUAUAGGAAGGAACACCAGUGGCGAAGGCGACUACCUGGACUGAUACUGACACUGAGGUGCGAAAGCGUGGGGAGCAAACAGGAUUAGAUACCCGAGUAGUCC
rnacentral:rRNA from 1 species